rnacentral:rRNA from 1 species
GACGAACGCUGGCGGCGUGCUUAACACAUGCAAGUCGAACGGAAAGGCCCUGCUUUUGUGGGGUGCUCGUGUGGCGAACGGGUGAGUAACACGUGAGUAACCUGCCCUUGACUUUGGGAUAACUUCAGGAAACUGGGGCUAAUACCGGAGAGGAGCUCCUGCUGCAUGGUGGGGGUUGGAAAGUUUCGGCGGUUGGGGAUGGACUCGCGGCUUAUCAGCUUGUUGGUGGGGUAGUGGCUUACCAAGGCUUUGACGGGUAGCCGGCCUGAGAGGGUGACCGGCCACAUUGGGACUGAGAUACGGCCCAGCCUCCUACGGGAGGCAGCAGUGGGGAAUAUUGCACAAUGGGCGGAAGCCUGAUGCAGCAACGCCGCGUGCGGGAUGACGGCCUUCGGGUUGUACACCGCUUUCGCCUGUGACGAAGCGUGAGUGACGGUAAUGGGUAAAGAAGCACCGGCUAACUACGUG